CCUACGGGAGGCAGCAGUGGGGAAUAUUGCACAAUGGAGGAAACUCUGAUGCAGCAACGCCGCGUGAGUGAUGAAGGUCUUCGGAUUGUAAAGCUCUGUCUUCUGGGACGAUAAUGACGGUACCAGAGGAGGAAGCCACGGCUAACUACGUGCCAGCAGCCGCGGUAAU
rnacentral:rRNA from 1 species